GCGCCGGGUACAGCGCCUCGGGAGGCGGCCCCGGCGGCCCGGGCGGCGCCGCGGGAGCCUGGUAGCCGGGCUCCCUGCGCGGCCGGGGGAAGUACUCGGGCAGCGGCGGGCCCGGGUGCGCGGCGGCGUGCAGCACAUCUAUGGAACUCUUUAACUGGUGUAAUAGAUAAGUUUCUCUAUUUACUCUGCAUGGAGAGGAAAUGCGGUUACACACACGCACCCAGAGAGAGAGCCGCAACUGUGCAGCAGCACCCAUUUGACGGAAAGGCGACAUUGUUUUAUUAAUAAACAAGCAAACAAACAAACAAGCAAGCGAAAGCAACACGGCGACUCAUACUGUACAAGACUAAAGCUCCCACCUACGUUACUGUAAAAAAUGAAAGAUUGUCAGCGACCCCCGCGAGCAGAGAGCAGUUUCCCGGCGUCCAGGAGAUGCAUGCACGCACACAGACACACACGUACAAAUACCUGCUGGCCAGCACCAGAUGAAUUACACUGGAUUACCGUACCCAUUAUCCUCGGCAUAAGGGACAAGUCCUGAGACACUAUGGCUAGAACACUACAGCAGAUACCGUGCUCCCGAGCCACGGUAAAACACAACGAAAACUGGUGUCCUGAUUUGUAGGCUGAGCGCUCUAUUCGGAGAGCUGACCGCGUUCUGCUUCCUAUUAUUUACCGUGAUUAGAUCUCAAAGUAUACUUGUUUCACUGCACCUCUUUCUACUGUGUAUCUCUGGCGCUCGGUUAAACGGAGAAGGAUGCGAUUUUGUAUACGACUGUAAAUCUGCAAGGUGACCUGAGCUGCGCGGCUGCAGUCUGUUUUUUCGUGUGGUUCUAUUAGUCUGCGAAGAUGUGCUGAGGCAGGACCUCCAAAAGGCCUGUUCCAUGUCUUUGUGGUUUUGUUAUCAUAAACAAGAACCCAGCCAAGACCACCAAGUGUUAUCUUGCACACG